CAAGAGCGAGAAAAGGGGGACGAAAAACAAAUAGAGUGAAAAUAUAUUCUCAUUUAUCAAACCCGCAAAUGUGGACAGGUUUCAAUUACAAAAUGGAGAAACGAAAUGCACUUGUAAGUGCUUUAUUUAUUGCACAUCUUAAACGGUCGUUUGCUGGUCUGUUUGGGGAGAAUUGAAACAAUUUCCCUAAAUGGGUGCCGCAUCAUCCCCCGCGCGUGGUUCAAGUGGGUUGAUGAGAGAAAAUCGAUCGAUUGUUACUAGGGUUGCGUGAAACUGUCUGCUCACCGUACCAGACAGAUAGUCACCACUAAUGAACAAGAUAAAGAAUAAAUGAAAACAAAUUUCAAGGAAUAUCAAUAAUAAUAAGCCCAACAUCGUUUAUUUUGACCAUUUAGUGGAUCAAUUUCAAUCAAUGUUGAUGCUAGGCUUAAUGGGUGUGUAUUUUUCGGAACAACACAACACAACAUCAUCCACAUCACGUUCUCAAUCAAUCAAUGGACGCGAGAUUGGCACGAGCAGAUUUAUCAAUUUGAAUUGAACAGAUACAUCAGACGGAGGUAAACAAGCCGCCUCCAUCCAUUCCAUUAGAAAAGAGUGUAUUUAAGGUGUAUUCAAGCUAAUUAGCUGCGUUUGUGUGCCACUUUUUACAAACCACCAGGCUUCUCCAUUGCGUCUACUAACAACACACUCCUUUGCCCCAUUGUACAAGCCACCAGGCGGCUCCUUUCGCUCUUAUUUUUCUCUAAAUAGCACAGAAACAACCCCAAAAACAAUAGUAACAAAAAACAGGAAACACUCCAUUACUAACCCCAACAACAACGCGCUUAAUAAGGUUGUCCCGCCGAAACACACGGUUCGCGGAGAUAUAAAUAUCUUUUAUUUACAUUGUGGCCAGCAAACAAAUUCGCACACCGCACCACACACAAACCACCACCCGUUGUCGAAGCGAUCAUCGUGUGGUUGGAAAAUGCAUUUGUUUAUGUGUUCCAGGCUUGCUCGACCGGCCUUUGCACUUUGCUCAUCUGGAACAGGUUGGACAUUUUGCUUCUCCCGCCCAGCGCGUUAUGGAGACGUGUGUGUGUGUGCGUUUUUUGUUUUUAGUUGAAACAGCAAACUCUGGUAGCAAUAUAUCGUGCAAAACUAAUUCGAACCACGCGUGUAUGGCAAAACGCGGCGACCAUAAAAUAUGUGUUAGCCUUGUGUAGCAAUUUCCAAUAAAAAAAGGGGAAGCAGGUCUUCUCAUCAUUGUAAGACUACAGAGUUUAUCAUGAUAAUUAAUAUUGAUUUUUUGAGUUGUCUCACGUUAUACAUUUUCGGAAAAUUGGCCUCAAGUCAAACAAAAUUACCCUUAGCUGACAAAUGCUUUUUUUAAGUCCAUUAACGACAAAUGCUCAUACGAAAUAAGAAUCGCCAUGUUUUUGGUACGUUUAUUGCUAAACCACGGUUUUUUUCCAUUAUUUAAAAACAAAUUCACGAUGAAACUUUCAUCGCGAACAUCGAAGGGUUGAUCGUUAACCUUUUACGAUGCGCUCUCGCUCAGCACACAACACACAACACCAAUCACGGCAGACGCGAGGGCAUCAAAGAACCAAUUAAUUAGAAUAUCUAUAAUCUGUCAACGGCAACCGAUCACUUCAUUGGUGUCGCGAGCUGUUGCAAUGCGCCGAUCAACGCUGAGGGGAGAGACUGGCGGACAAUUUUGGCAAUAUUCACACACAGUCGAGCGAUCAGAGAGUAAACAUACACAAAUAAACUGAUGCUAGUACGGUGGGCGGCAGUGUCUGGCGUGGUUUUGGUUGUGAGGUGCGCAGGUGUCUGUCGUACCAGCUCGUAAGUUUACAUUUGACUUCCCUCCCGCAAGCAUCACGCACCCCUGCCCUGUCGCUUGCAAACAUAAAACAGAUGAUCUUGACAUUGUGUACGAAGGAGUAUUUAUGGAGUUUGGGCCGCACCUUUCCUAUGUUGUUCGCGGGACGAAGGUUUUUGCGCGCGAUCAACGCCUUCUUAAAGCGAGCUUUAAACACCUUCGAUCGGUGAAAUGGAUUUCCGGUUGCGCUCAUUGAACCGGCAGCAGAGAUUUAGUACCUUUCAACCUGGCCACCACAACACGCGGGGCCAGAGCACUUGAGAUUUCAAAGGCAAUUGGAGGAUCGUUUGCGCAAACCGAAACCGGUGAAAUUGCACGAUCAUCAGCAAGGCCGCCCCCAUCCCCCAAACGACGCGCGCGGUGGUAUUGCUUUUUAUAGCAAUGGGAAAAGGGAAGACCACUAACGAACGGUACCAAAACGAACCCUUUGUGAGGAUGCGCGUUAUCGCCAAUUAGCUUCUACCGAAGAAGGAAAGCCAUAAUCACCCUAUAAAUACGGGAUCGGUAGUAUUGAAGUAGUAAACCGCCCGAAGAUCGGCGAUCAACAAAGGGAGAAAGGUACAAUGUCCGCAACGAUGGGAAUCGUUUUAUCGUUUGUGAAAGUAAGAAUCUUGUUUCGUGGAGCGUUUAUUACGAUGCUCGGUGCGCGCACAUUGGCUCAACUUCCAAUUUAAAAAUGGUCACAUAAUAUUAAGAACAAUCCUAUGAAAUUACAUUAAACAUUGUCGAUCUUAUACAACAGUCAACAAUCGAAUAAUUGUCCAAAAUGGACGUUAAUUUUCUUCUCUAAAACUCCAUUCUGACCAUUGCCACAUGGCACACUUUCCUACAAUGCACGCUUUCCCCAGACCAUAUCGAUUGAGGCGAUCUCGUAUUGGCAGCGUAUUGGCCAUAAUCGAUUGAAAACUUCGUACCCACAUACACACACACACACACACGAUCAGCGAACAGCGCGCACCGAAUACGGAUCGGUCAGUCUUGCUUCUCGAUUCCAUCCAAUCGCACACGACUCGUUUCGUCCCGGGAUCGAACCGAACCGAAACCUUUACGCGGCACGUGCCUGCAACAUCAUACGACGACGUGUUUGAUUUAGUGGCGUUGGCUUAUCCAACUACCUUACCACACCCUCCUUUUAUCCCUCCCAAGCAAACCACACAAGCCCGCCCCAGAUACGAUGGGAAACGCGCCCAACCCGAAACAAUACACCAAGUACAGCAAAAACACGGCCGAGGUGCGGGUGAAAAAGUGCAUACCGGUGCAACGGGGCAUGUUCCGGCUGGGCACCGGCAACCUGUUCUACCUGAUACUGAUCAAAAUCUUUACCAUUCUCAACAACAUUGUCAACAAAUGUCUAUAGUGUCUGGUGUGUGUGUGUGUGUGUGUGUCUUUGAUUGCGCCGCGCCGUGUGUGUGCUUCGUCUUGUAUCUGUUACUGUCUCGAGAUUCAUUCCGUUCCCCGUCCGUUCGAUAGCGCAUAGACGGACGCUGGAUGCGGAAAGUCCCGCUGCUGUUGUGUCCAAAACGUCCCAAAGCUUCCUGUUUCAUCACUCAUGUAGUAGGGCAGGAGGGAUGAUGAUCAUGAUGCGAUCGCGGUGUGAACAUGUUUUCUGACGAAUCAGAGCUCAUCAGCGAUUAAAAUGGAAAAUGUGGCAGACAGAAAGGCAGAGAAGAAGGGCGAGGCAAAUUAUGAUCGAUGGCUAAUGGAUUGUGACUGGAUGCACAGCCAGAAUCAGAAAUGCCAACUUGCUUACGUUCUCUCUCUGUCGCCCUGCGCGGCCAUCACUGGUCCUGCUGUUACGGUCGAGCUGCUGGGGAGUACAGCGUACACGGCGCCGUACAAGUGUUUUUUUUUUUUUUCUGGGGGUUUAAUGCUACAUGUGGCGGCGCGAACGCCGUUCUCUCCGAUACCACACAGCGGUUUGGCGUUAUUUUCGGUGAUGUUUACUUUAGCGGGUCUUGAUUGAGCUAGACGAAAGAUCGACGAAAGAACUACAUGUGAUUGCUUAUUAGCAUUAUGUGUGUUAUGUAAGGAAUUUUCUACCAAAUAUACAAAUUAAAAUCGCUCUCCAUUGUACGUCACGCGGUACGUGCAGGCGAAUGCGCGUUGUUUGAUAUUUAAUCUACGCCCACGUGUGCAGAUGGUGCAUCCGAAAAAGUCAAUGGUGAUUGCUUCUCAAAAAAUGCAAAUUAAAAAACGGGAACACAGGGAAUAUUCUGAGAUAUUGGCUCGCAAUAAAAAAUUUUCACUUGGCGAUUGAUCGAUGUAGAACUGGCUAAUUGAAUGAUCAAAUGAUAGGAUAAAUGCCACCAAGAAGCCGACAGAACUGACAGGAAUGCGCUAUUCAAACAGUCUCAAUCGAUUGUUGUACUUUAGACUGAGUUUUUUUUAAAUCCCCUUUUACUCGUGGAUUUCAUCAUUAAUGGGAUCAUUCUAUCUAUUCUGUUACCAGCUGAAACUCUGUUAACUCUGUCCGGAAAGGCAAAUGAAUUAGCCAGCUUGGGAAAACAGGUAAUCUGAAUGUGUCCUAUGUUCUGGCUGACUGUUUGACCAUCAAUGCGAUAGGAGAGAAUAUUCACACGCCCAAUUUUGCAUUGCAAAGGUGUGAACAUUUCUUUCGUACCGACAGUACCUGUCACUGUUAUUGCUUUGCAUGGUUCUGGAAGGUCGACCUUAGUAUGAAAUCUCUUUUCAAAUAUCCAGCUCCACUAGAAUCUCUUUCCUCACACACCAAUAUUCAAUCAUACACACUGCACUUACUUGUCGCGCUUAAACUGUUGGUUCGCCUCGAAAAUGCAGACCGCAUCGUCGGUGUAGCACUGGUCGAUGGAGGGUACACGGCGGAACUUCU